rnacentral:rRNA from 1 species
CGCGUAGGCGGGAUAUUAAGUCAGGUGUGAAAACUCAGGGCUCAACCUUGGGACUGCACUUGAAACUGAUAUUCUUGAGGACAGGAGAGGAAAGUGGAAUUCCCAGUGUAGCGGUGAAAUGCGUAGAUAUUAGGAGGAACACCAGUGGCGAAGGCGACUUUCUGGACAGUAACUGACGCUGAGGCGCGAAAGCGUGGGGAGCAAACA